rnacentral:misc_RNA from 1 species
GCAAGGAUCCCGUCUUAGUCACCAAGCCGAAGCAAUUAACUGAAAAUGUAGCAGGGAAAGAACAUGGCCCAACUGGAACAGCAAAUGCCAUGCGAUGCAACCAGCAUAAACGGCACAACAUGGCCUCAGCACAGAUACGACAUUUCUAUAACACACCAACAACAACUUCUUCAACAACAACACGACAACCUUUACAACAACAGCAGCACACGAACAACUGCUACUGCAUCAAACGGAGGCAAUUUCAAAACGAUACGUUUCUGUGCCACACACAAACACAAAGCGAAUCAGAGGCAGCAGCAGCAGCAAGAGCAACAGCCACAGCAACAUUAUGCCAGUCAACACUUGCGACAGCAGCGACAUCAGCAACAGGAGCAGCAGCAACAGAUGAUGUACCAGCCAGCGAAUGUCGGCAGUCCUGGACCACAGAUGAGAACUCGGCCAGAGAUAGAGACACCCAGCACAGGAUGCGAGAUCCUUUGGCCGACGGUGUUGCAGGCUGCGAUGUGGCUGUUGUUCCUGUCGUGCAGCAACAGCAGCUUCAGCAGGACCUGGCUGAUCCUGCUGCCUUUUUGGUCGCUUCUACAGGGACUUCGGAGCAGGUUCGCCUCGCCACGAGCACUUGCCUAUCACGCCUAUCUUCCAAAGUCAGUCAGGACUCUACGAAACAACAACGAAAGCUCUUUCAACACGGCGCCGCCACAAAGGACUGCGCUGCUGUCGGCCUCCUCACGGAUAUGCAAAAGUUUGCACGCUCUAUAUUUUCGCUGGUCAUCAUCUUUAAUCUGCUGCCCUUAUUCUAUGCAGGCGGUGCUCAUUUAAAGUCGAACGGCGCCGACGGAGAGCCUUGGAUGCAGCCGGUGGUGGCCUAUUUGGAGGUGUCGUCGCGACCCAUGAAAUCGCCAAAGUGUGAUCAGACCUUCGUGUCGCGGAUCGGUGGACCCCAGAAUGGCAGCUUCUCGGCCCCGCUGCUGCACAACCAUCGCAAUCACUCGCGCCAAUGCCUCUACACCUUCCUAGCAGGACCUGGCCAGCGCGUCGAAGUAGUUUUUAAAUCGUUUAAUUUAAGAGGAAGUCCGCCAGACGGUUCGGCCGUCGGUGAGUUACCAAGUUGUGUUCAUGAGUACAUGGAUAUCUACUCGGAGGUGCAGUCGUCGGAGCCAGCGGAACUGAUCAACUCACCAUUCGGGGGCCGCUACUGCGGCACCAUUCCGCCGCGUCGUCGCAUUUCCAUGUAUCGGGCAGUUGCGAUUUCUUUUUUUAGCAACAAGAACGUGACCACGGACCUGUUCGAGGGCACGUUUAGGUUUAUAAAUGCAUCGGAAUAUGAAAUUGGCAUACCCAUUGCGGGGUCGCCAUGUUCCUACACGAUAACGCCCAGCAUGAGCGUCAACAAAACUGGUGCGCUCAUAUCGCCAACCUAUCCAGGUGCCUAUCCGAAGGAUAUGUCAUGCACAUAUCAGUUUCUUGGUGAAUCGAAUCAGAGGGUUAGAUUAGAGUUUCGGGAUUUUGAUCUAUUUUUUGGUGGACCACACUGCCCAUUUGACUAUGUGAAAGUGUACGAUGGUCCAGAUAAUUCGUCAGCAUUAAUCGGUACAUAUUGCGGGCAGCAAAGAAACUUAGUUUUGUAUUCGAGCGAGUCGAGCCUUUUUGUUCAUUUUUAUACGUUAUCGCGCACCGCAAAUACCCAAAAUCGUGGCUUUAAAGGAAUUUAUGAAUUUAGCGAGAGUUUUGUUAAAUUAGAUUUUAUACGUGAAAAUGAUGGCAUUCACAUACGUGGCUCAGAAUGUGAUCAAAAGAUUUUAUCGAAGAAGGAAUCCACUGGCUUUGUGCUCUCACCCAACUAUCCCUAUCCCUAUAUACCAAAAACUGUGUGUAGAUAUUUUAUCUAUGGCAUGCAGGAUGCCCAGCAUCUGGAGCGUGUGCGUCUGGAGUUCAACGCUUUCAAUAUACCUAAGGUGGAGCACAAGGACAAGAGCGAGUCCAACUGCACGGACGGCUAUCUAAAGAUCUAUCUGAAGGGGCAGGAGACGGCCGAUGCCUACGACAAGUUCGACUACGAGUUGUGCGGCAAUGAGACGCAGCGAGUGAUCAGUGAGGGACCGCGGCUGGCCAUGGUCUUCAGUUCGGGUGAGCUGCAGGGUCGUGGCUUUAAGGGCAAGUACACCUUCGAGACGGAGUACAAGAUUCCGGGCACGGCGGCCCCGGAUGGCACCUGCAGCUUCACGUACGUGAGCAGUUCCAAGAAGCGCGGCGAACUGAACAGCCCGAGAUACCCCUCCAAUUAUCCCUCGGACACGAAUUGCUCAUAUCUGUUUCUGGCCGAGGCCGAUGAGCAGGUGACCAUCGUGUUUGACCAUUUCAAGAUCAAGGCGGACAACAAUGCAAACGCCACGGCGGGAGCUUAUGGUUCUGGCGCCUGCUUCGAGGACUGGCUGGAGAUGUAUGUCGUCUACCGGGACAACAACGACCGCCUGCUGGGCCGCUACUGCGGUCAGACAGCCCCCGGACCCGUCGAGAGCCCGCGGGGAGCGGUGGGGCUGCGUAUCACCCUGCACACGGACCAGGAGAGCGUGGCCAGCGGCUUCAAGGCCCGCUACUUCUUCGAGUCGGCCAAGUCGGAUGCCGGCGACUGCGGCGGCAACUUUAGCAACCAGGACUCGGGCCUCAUCACCUCGCCCAACUGGCCGGCCGGCUACAAGGCACCUGGUCGGGGCAUGGCCUCCAACGCCUGCAACUGGGUGAUGAAGGCACGCCCCGGCUACAAGCUGUCCAUUCACUUUGAGCAGUUCGGCCUGGAAGGAGACCCAGCAAAUCGCGGGUGUCCUGCCGCUGUGCUGCGGCUGUGGAUGAACGUGGACUCCGACCAGCCGCCGCUGGAGCUGUGUGGCGAGAAGCCGCCCGUGGAGCAGUGGCACUAUACCUCUACUGGCCAGACAGCGCGCAUCAGCUUCACCACCAGCGACAAGACAGUGGGUGCCCAGGGCUUCCGCAUUGUGUGGACCGAGAUACAGGACUCUGGCCCGGGUCCGCCGUCCGUGGGUCUGCACUGCGAGUCGACGUACCACUUCCAGUGCGGAGCCGGAUACUGCAUCUCGGAUAAGCUGCGAUGCGACGGGGUCAAGAACUGCGGACCCGGCGACGAUACUGACGAAUUGCACUGUACCACGGAAGCGGCAGAGGAGGACUACGACGUCCUAAUUAUAAUAACGCUUCUCGUCGUCUCGUCCCUAAUCUGUCUCCUAUGCAUACUCUGUCACUCCAGAAGAAGCCGUAGGAACCAUGUCCGCCAACUGGGCCUACAUCGGAAUGCACAUUACGACUCGCAGACCAGUGCAACGGCGGGACUCAGCUCCAGUCGCAGGCAUCUGCAGAGUGGAGGCGCCAGCAUUGCGGGCAGUUUGCAUGGGAUCAACAGCGGCAACCUGAUGAUCCCGCCCGCCCCACUUCCGCCCACCAGUGUGCCGCCGCCGCCCCACAUCUGCAUCGCCGGGGUGGACAUGGGAAUGGGGAUGGGACACGGGUUGAUGUCCAACGGGGAGGACGACGAGGACGAUCUGGAGCUCGACGAGGACCAGCUGGACGCGGACAUUUUCAUCAACGAUGUGCACUUCGAUGAGGACAACAUCGAUCAUGUCAACCAAAUGGCGAACGUCUAACGAUGGUUCGGUGCAGUUUUAUCGCAACCUUCAGUUUCGGUUUUAAAACGCAUUUAGAAUAAGGCUAUCUAAAUAGGUAAUGGCGUACGAAGCAACUUUGCAGAGCAAGAACAGUAGAUUAAACACACUCCCACAGUGCAAACUGACACGCAGACAGAGGAUACAGUAAAACAGUGAAACACGAGUACAGUAAAACCGGGAGGCGAGCAGAAACAAACAGAAUUCAAAAGUUAACAAUACCUAAAAGACAAGAAAUUAUGCAAAAAUGCGAAUUGAUUACGACGUAAAUUUAAUAACGAGCGAAACGGAAGGGUUAGUAGCAUUAGAGAUGGGCAGGCAAAGCGGAAUCUAAGCUAAAUAAGUACAGUAGGGCGAGCAUGUUGUAGUUGCGAUAACUCGAUUAGCCAGAAGCGUUUCACAUAAGGGAUGAUGGUGGAAUAAGAAACAAAUAACAGCUACAUUUAAUAACUAUAUUAUACACAUAGCGAAAUACGUACGGCGGAGCGGAGAGAGCGCACAAAGCGCACAAAGCGCACAGGCCGAUUGGCGGAUGUGGAGAAAGCAAGGAGAAGCCGUGCGGCCGAAACGGAAACGAGCCAAAAAUCGUGAAGCGGAAGUGCAUGUACGAAUCAUUUUCAUAGCCACAAGAGACCGCAGACAAGACGAAAAAUAAAAUAAAGUUGUUGAUUUUUAUAUUUGAUACGAGUAAUAUUUAGGUGAAGCAUAAAUUGAAUUAAUUAUACAACCGAAAAAACGAAGACGAAAUAAAGUUAAUAAAACAAUACACACAAUUCGCAAAACCGAUAGAUAAACCAAUAAUGAAUAACGGCAGCAACAUACUAAAGGGCAUAAAACAAUAAUAAUUACUUACCUUUACAUACGCGCAUGACUUUUUAUUUACACAUUUUGUACAAAAGAUCUUCGACCCUUGAGGCUACACAAAUCAAACUUACAACAACAAAAGGAGAAGACGAAAUAAUGCAUAAAUAAAAGAAUUAGUGACUAUCAAAACUGUAUCUUCCAGCAAAGAAUAAAAGCAAAAAGCUUAAUGACGCUAAAUCGAAAAGUUUAUAUGAGAAUAAAAAGGAAUUUGAAUAAAUUAUAGUGGCCCCAAAGACGGAAAAUGAUUGCGAGAAAUGGAAAGUAAAUAAAUUCAAAGAUUUUUGUCUAUUUAAGCACAUUUUUAUAAACAUUUAAGACGAACAAGAAUAUUUAUAAAAAUGUAUACGCGAAAGGGAAUGAUAAUAAUAAAGUAAAUUAUACAAAAAGCUAAACACAAAAAUCUAAAUACAGGAAAUGCAAUAUUAAGUUUCUUUUUUUGUCGGCUCGAAUUAUAUUUGACAAUUGACUUUUUAAUGAAAUAUAAUUUUAUGUUAUUUUAUCAACGUAACAUUAUACAUAAGCAAACCUGUUGCGAAGAUAAAAGCGAUUUUAGUUGAAAUCAGUUUCCUCCGUUUUGGAGCUAAAUGAUAAAUUCCCCGAAAUUUCCAAGAAUAAAUAAUAAUUAUUGGUUUCAUAGCGCACGUACAUUUUGCAAAGAAAAUUGAGAAAAUAAAGAAUACGGCUUAAAUCAGCGAUGGAAACUUAAACCCGUUUAACGUAAAAACCAUUUAUAAUAAAAGUAUGUAGGUGUUACAAAAAUGCUACAUUAAUUAAACAAGAAUGAUAAAAAAGCGAAAAUAAAUACAAUUACAUUGAUGAAGUAAACCGUUGUUAAAUUGUUGCAUAAAAAAGCAUAAUGAUCAAGAACUCCUAGGAAUUAAUUCUUAUUAAUAAACUUUAGUUUAAGUGUACAAAUUUUGUUGUUGUAUUACAUUAAAACCGAACAGAAAGAGCAAAGAAUUCAAUUAGUAAAUAAAAACUCUAAAUUUGUGUUCUAGCAAUAAAAAUUAAACAUAAAUUUAAAGAAAAAUAGUACGAAAACGUAAAGCUAAUAAAAAGUUUGAAAAAGAAUGUCCCCAACAAAAAACCUAUCCCAAAACAAAAAAAAAAUGUUCUAAACUAAAAAGUUUACUAAAGUAACACAAAGUUAAACUAAAACACCCCAAAAAAGCAAAUGUUAAAAUUACAAUUAAACCUAUAAAUAAGACACUUAAAGAAAGGAGUCAAACACAUUUGAAUUGAGAGACGUUUUCAAAUUUCAAAACCCGAUACAGAAAUCAGAAAACCGAAUCUCGGGCGCACUUAUUGGCAGAGAACAUGGCGCCGUUUGCGAAGAGAGAUGACCGAAUAACAAAUAAAAUAGUUAAAUGAUAAAACGCAGAACAAAAAUUUUAAAUUAAAAGGAAACACCUACAAAAACAAUUCCAUGUUAACAUU